AUUACUCAUUCUUUUUUAUUACAAAUAAAAUUUGAUCUCAGGUAUCGGUGAUAAAAAUAAUAAAAAAAAUUGUGUAACGUUUUUUUUUUUUCAUCGUGAUCAUAAGAAAUAAUGUUUGUCUUAUCGAUUCAAGGCAAUGUGGACUUUUCACGUAAAUUAGUGGUAAUAUUUUUCCUAUGCUGAUAACUUGAUAAGGAUUGUUUUUAUUAAUUUUCUAGAACAAUCGUUUUCGUGUUGAAUAAUUUUACUUUUCUUGUAGAUAUUUAAAAGUAGAUAAUUGAUAAAGCACGAACGCCGCGACGAUGCUUCUCAUUCCGCAUUUCUCAUCAUAUUAUUGCGGAAAAAAGCACACAUAAGCAUCAGACAGUCGACAGACAUCGAGUUCCCAAAAUAAUACCAUCGGUAAUUAAUCCGUCUGGAAGUUAAUUAAAUGUCGAACAAGUGAAAAGUAUCACAAUCGUAUAGGUAUCCAAUUUUAAUCAUCUUCAUCGUACGUCUAAUUAAUUUUUUUUUUUUUUUGUCGCAGAUGUAUCUACUCGACUGGUUGGAUUAAAUUCUUAAUUUUUUUUUGGAACACCUAAUCAUCCCGGUAAUUCCAUAUGUGGAGGUCGUUUGUUCGAUGCACGAUGACGUAGGUAUUUUUAAUGGGUAGGUGUAGAAGAGCUGAAGGGAAGCUGACGAAUUAAGUAUUUGUUUCAAUUAUGAACAUCGUAAGUACUAAAUGUACAAACGAACGUGAUGAAUCUAUCUGUUGUUGUGCGGAUUGUGGAAUUUGCACUCGAAAUAUUCGAUGCACGUUGAAAGUCACAAGGUAAUCGGUUGCAUGUUUCGAGUGAUAAUUAAGUUCAUAAUACGAGUGUACGAGGUAUUAUCAAUUCUUCCAACAGAAUACUGAGAAUUGCUCCGAAUAACUCCAGUUUCUACUCCUACUCAAAAUUGUACAAGCUGUUUACAAAUUUUUAAACGUUAGCGAACACCGUUUCCUUUUUAAAUUAAUUCAUCAACAUUGUACAUUUCGUUGUAAAUUAUCGUUUAAUGGAAUUUAUCUUCAUAACCCACGUCUGUGGAAUUAUUAUUAUGAUGGCUCGUGUUGUGUUACGUUUCACAUCAUAUAUACCUACCAAUGUCUAUACCUACCUAAGUGUAACAAUAACCCUGAUGAAACGAAUAACAAGAUAAAUAUUGACCCACUUUAACUAAAUAUGUAUGAAAAGUGAAAAAAAAAACGUUAUUCAGUCUGUAUAAAUGAUUUUUGUUUUGUUUUUAUAAAUAGGUAUGUACGACCUAUGAUGAAGUUGUACUGUAAAUUGUUCAUGCUAUACCGAGAAUGGCAUUUGAUUAAGAAAUAUCCGAGUUAUCGAAGUUAACGACUCGAACGACUCUGAUAGCAGUAAUGAAGUUGCAAGGUGUAAUUCUAAAUAUUAAUGCGAUCGGUUAAAAAAAUUAAUUGAGUAAAAUGCUAUUAUAGCGUUCGAUCAUUUUUUCGGAAACGUUUACCUAAUUGAUGAAAAUUUAUCAAGCGUAUGAUGUUGGAUGGUUCGUUAUCGUUUCAUAAAUUGAUAGAGAUAUAUCUUCUCGUCAUCCUCGUGCUCUGUACACCCGCAAUCAAACAAAAGACUGUAAGAACGAUAUCGCGUGUAUUGCUGCUACUAUACAAAUAUUUUUGCAGCCAUUUGGAUGAAUGACCUCAUCAAGUUAUCAAGACUACCUAUUCACUUCUUUUGGUUAAUAAAUUCGAAUAUCUAAGUACA